AGUGCUAAUACCGGAUAAGAAAGCAGAUCGCAUGAUCAGCUUUUAAAAGGCGGCGUAAGCUGUCGCUAUGGGAUGGCCCCGCGGUGCAUUAGUUAGUUGGUAAGGUAAAGGCUUACCAAGGCGAUGAUGCAUAGCCGAGUUGAGAGACUGAUCGGCCACAUUGGGACUGAGACACGGCCCAAACUCCUACGGGAGGCAGCAGCA
rnacentral:rRNA from 1 species